GAUGAACGCUAGCGGGAGGCCUAACACAUGCAAGCCGAGCGGUAUUGUUUCUUCGGAAAUGAGAGAGCGGCGUACGGGUGCGUAACACGUGUGCAACCUGCCUUUAUCUGGGGGAUAGCCUUUCGAAAGGAAGAUUAAUACUCCAUAAUAUAUUGAACGGCAUCGUUUAAUAUUGAAAGCUCCGGCGGAUAGAGAUGGGCACGCGCAAGAUUAGCUAGUUGGUGAGGUAACGGCUCACCAAGGCGAUGAUCUUUAGGGGGCCUGAGAGGGUGAUCCCCCACACUGGUACUGAGACACGGACCAGACUCCUACGGGAGGCAGCAGUGAGGAAUAUUGAUCAAUGGGUGCAAGCCUGAACCAGCCAUCCCGUGUGAAGGACGACUGCCCUAUGGGUUGUAAACUUCUUUUGUAUAGGGAUAAACCUACCCUCGAGAGGGUAGCUGAAGGUACUAUACGAAUAAGCACCGGCUAACUCCGUG
rnacentral:rRNA from 1 species